AAAACAAUCGUUGAUUGGUUGUUUAGAAGGGUAUUUCCCGGUUCCAAUUAUUUUUACACAGCGUGACACUCGGUAGUAACUACUAAUUCUAAGGCUGUAGUUAUCGACACAUGGACGCAAUUAUCGACAGAUGUAUUGAUGUAAGCAGAGAUAGUAAAGACUGUGAUGGAUAAUGAGUUUAUUAAAGGCAGAAGACUUGUCUGAGACAGUUGAAGUAUAUGUAGUUGCUACUAUAAGCUCAGAGUCAGAUGGACCCACUUGCCUUCAGGAGAUAUUAAGGGGAAAAGGCCUGAUCACUUAAGAACUUAGUCAAAAUCUCUUUCUUGGAUAGUGAAUAACCUGAAAUAUAAAAUAAAGAUUCAUAGUCAUGGCAAAUGAGUUUAAAUAGAUGAAGAACCUAUUAAUAUAUAUAAGGACAUUUGUUUUGAAAUAUUUAGUAAAGAAGUUAUCAAAAUUACAUACAUUUGUAGUAUAAAAUACAUGAACCAUAACAGCAUUAAAAGGUGCACUUCAUAGAUUAUUUCAGCAUAUAAUGUUUGUUUUCUGAUUUCAACAGAGUAUAUUCCAAAAUUCAAGGUAAAACUUUUGCCAUCAGAUUUGCAUAGUUUAUAAAUUUGAGCUUUCUCCUCAGCAGGAGUCGAAACUGACGGAGGUCCGGGCCUUGUUGGCAUUUCAGGAACUCUUCCCAAAUGGUUAUCUUAAAAGGGUGGUCCUUGGAACC